ACGGGUGAGUAAUGUCUGGGGAUCUGCCCGAUAGAGGGGGAUAACCACUGGAAACGGUGGCUAAUACCGCAUAACGUCGCAAGACCAAAGAGGGGGACCUUCGGGCCUCUCACUAUCGGAUGAACCCAGAUGGGAUUAGCUAGUAGGCGGGGUAAUGGCCCACCUAGGCGACGAUCCCUAGCUGGUCUGAGAGGAUGACCAGCCACACUGGAACUGAGACACGGUCCAGACUCCUACGGGAGGCAGCAGUGGGGAAUAUUGCACAAUGGGCGCAAGCCUGAUGCAGCCAAGCCGCGUGUAUGAAGAAGGCCUUCGGGUUGUAAAGUACUUUCAGCGGGGAGGAAGGCGAUGGGGUUAAUAACCUUAUCGAUUGACGUUACCCGCAGAAGAAGCACCGGCUAACUCCGUGCCAGCAGCCGCGGUAAUACGGAGGGUGCAAGCGUUAAUCGGAAUUACUGGGCGUAAAGCGCACGCAGGCGGUCUGUUAAGUCAGAUGUGAAAUCCCCGGGCUUAACCUGGGAACUGCAUUUGAAACUGGCAGGCUUGAGUCUUGUAGAGGGGGGUAGAAUUCCAGGUGUAGCG
rnacentral:rRNA from 1 species